UAACGAAUCUUCCGCAAUGCGCGAAAGCGUGACGGAGCAAUGCCGCGUGUAGGAUGAAGCCCUUCGGGGUGUAAACUGCUGUCGGGGUUUAGGAAGCAAGUGACCAAACCCGAAGGAAGAGACGACUAACUCUGUGCCAGCAGUCGCGGUAAUACAGGUCUCGAGCGUUAGUCGGAAUCACUGGGCUUAAAGCGUACGUAGGCGGAUGUGCAGGCGUCGUGUGAAAGCCCUCAGCUCAACUGAGGAACUGCACGGCGAACCGCACGUCUUGAGACAAGUAGGGGCGGUCGGAACGAUAGGUGGAGUGGUGAAAUGCGUAGAGAUCUGGAGGAAUACCGAUGGCGGAGGCAGCCAUCUGGCCUAACACUGACGCUGAGGUGCGAAAGCAUGGGGAGCAAAC
rnacentral:rRNA from 1 species